CCUACGGGUGGCUGCAGUGGGGAAUAUUGCGCAAUGGGCGGAAGCCUGACGCAGCGACGCCGCGUGGGGGAUGACGGCCUUCGGGUUGUAAACCUCUUUCGACCGGGACGAAGAGUGAUUGACGGUACCGGUAGAAGAAGCACCGGCCAACUACGUGCCAGCAGCCGCGGUAACACGUAGGGUGCGAGCGUUGUCCGGAAUUAUUGGGCGUAAAGAGCUCGUAGGCGGUGUGUCGCGUCGGCCGUGAAAACCUGGGGCUUAACUCUGGGCUUGCG
rnacentral:rRNA from 1 species